rnacentral:rRNA from 1 species
UUUUGAUGUUAAUUUUGUGGCCUGAGUAGUAUUAGUUAUGUUCUUGAAACUUAAAGAAUUUGGCGGUAUUUUAUUCUGUUCAGAGGAAUCUGCCCUAUUAUCGAUAAUCCGCGUUGGACCUUACUUAUUUUUUUUGUUUGUAUACCGCCGUUAUAAUGAGAAUCUUUUGAGGGUUAUAAUUUUUUCUUUCCUUUAUUUUGGUUUAUUUCAGGUCAAGGUGCAGCUUUUAUUUAAGUUGGUGGUGGAUUACAUUGUUAUUAAUUUUUGGAUUGUUUGUUGAAAUUUCUUUCAUGAAAUUGGAUUUGAUUGUAAUUGUUUGGAGAUUGUUUUUAUGAUUUUAGUUCUAAAGUAUGU